AGUGAACGCUGGCGGUAGGCCUAACACAUGCAAGUCGAACGGCAGCACAGUAAGAGCUUGCUCUUACGGGUGGCGAGUGGCGGACGGGUGAGGAAUACAUCGGAAUCUACUUUUUCGUGGGGGAUAACGUAGGGAAACUUACGCUAAUACCGCAUACGACCUACGGGUGAAAGCAGGGGAUCUUCUGACCUUGCGCGAUUGAAUGAGCCGAUGUCGGAUUAGCUAGUUGGCGGGGUAAAGGCCCACCAAGGCGACGAUCCGUAGCUGGUCUGAGAGGAUGAUCAGACAAACUGGAACUGAGACACGGUCCAGACUACUACGGGAGGCAGCAGUGGGGAAUAUUGGACAAUGGGCGCAAGCAUGAUCCAGCCAUACCGCGUGGGUGAAGAAGGCCUUCGGGUUGUAAAGCCCUUUUGUUGGGAAAGAAAAGCAGCAGGCUAAUACCCCGCUGUUCUGACGGUACCCAAAGAAUAAGCACCGGCUAACUUCGUG
rnacentral:rRNA from 1 species